rnacentral:lncRNA from 1 species
UUCGUCCGUCUGUUCGUUCGUCCGUCUGUCCCGCUUCAGGUUAAAGUUUUUGAUCAAGGUAGUUUUGGAUGAAGUUGAAAUCCAAUCAACUUGAAACUUAGUACACAUGUUCCUUAUGAUAUGAUCUUUCUAAUUUUAAAGCCAAAUUAACCUUUUGACCCCAAUUUCACGGUCCACUGAACAUAGAAAAUGAAAGUAAAAUUGAGAAUGGAAAUGGGGAAUGUGUCAAAGAGACAACAACCCGCCCAAAUAAAAAACAACAGCAGAGGGUCACCAACAGGUCUUCAAUGUAGCGAGAAAUUCCCGCACCCGGAGGCGUCCUUCAGCUGGCCCCUAAACAAAUAUAUACUAGUCCAGUGAUAAUGAACGCCAUACUAAUUUCAAAUUGUAACAAGAAACUAAAAUUAAAAUAAUACAAGACUAACAAAGGCCAGAGGCUCCUGACUUGGGACAGGCGCAAAAAUGAGGCGGGGUUAAACAUGUUUGUGAGAUCUCAACCCUCCCCCUAUACCUCUAACCAAUGUAGUAAAGUAAACGCAUAACAAUACUCACAUUAAAAUUCAGUUCAAGAGAAAUCCCAGUCUGAUGUCAGAAGAUGUAACCAAAGAAAAUAAACAAAAUGACAAUAAUACAUAAAUAACAACAGACUACUAGCAGUUAACUGACAUGCAAGCUCAAGACUUCAACUAAACUGACUGAAAGAUUAUGAUUUCAUAUGAACAUCAGGCACAAUCCUUCCCGUUAGGGGUUUAGUAUCAUGUGCAUGUUUCAGGUUAAAGUUUUUGGUCAAGGUAGUUUUUGAUGAAGUUGAAGUCCAAUCAACUUGAAACAUAGUACACAUGUUCCUUAUGAUAUGAUCUUUCUAAUUUUAAAGCCAAAUUAAACUUUUGACCCCAAUUUCACGGUCACUGAACAUAGAAAAUGAAAGUGCAUGUUUCAGGUUAAAGUUUUUGGUCAAGGUAGUUUUUGAUGAAGUUGAAGUCCAAUCAACUUGAAACUUAGUACACAUGUUCCCUAUGAUAUUAUCUUUCUAAUUUUAAUGCCUAAUUAUAUUUUUUAUCCAAUUUCGCGGUCCAUUGAACAUGGAAAAUGAUAGUGCGAGUGGGGCAUCCGUGUACUUUGGACACAUUCUUGUUUA